rnacentral:rRNA from 1 species
UUAAAGCCCCCCGCUUACACCGGAACAAUAUCUGUUGAACCCAGAUCAUUUUGACGCCUAAAAUCUAGCUUAAUUACCCUCCAUGCCAUCCUCUAUCCCCUAGCCCUCAAACAAAACAUUUUAACAUUAUAGUACAGGAGAUCAAAAAAUUUCUAAACGCUUUAGAUAAAGUACCGUAAGGGAACAAUGAAAUAAAAUGAAACAUCUUAAAGCCCAAAAUAGCAGAGAUUUGACCUCGUACCUUUUGCAUCAUGGUCUAGCUAGUCUAACCAAGCAAAAAGAAAAUUUAAGUUUGCUAUCCCGAAACUAAGUGAGCUACUUCAAAACAGCCCCUAGGGCCAACCCGUCUCUGUUGCAAAAGAGUGGGAAGAUUUUCAAGUAGAAGUGAUAGACCUAACGAACUUAGAGAUAGCUGGUAAUUCAAAAAACGAGUUUUAGCUCAACCUUAAGUUUUUUAAUUACACUAAAAACCCCCUUGAACUUAAGAGCUACUCAAAUAAGGCACAGCUUAUUUGAAACAGGACACAACCUAAAACACCGGGUAAGCAUAGAGCAACCCCAAAAUAAGUAGGCCUAAGAGCAGCCAUCUUCAAAAAAGCGUUACAGCUUAACCUCCUGAACCCCCUAAUUCCUUUAUCCCCUUCUAACCCUUAACAACUACUGAAUUAUUUUAUACCAAUAUAAAAGUAAUCAUGCUAGAACUAGUAACAAGAAAUUGAAUUUCUCCUAAAUGUAAGUAUAAGCCAUUACGGACCACCCACUGGCACUUAACGCCCUUGCAACCACCAUAACAACACAUUCAAGAAAACCCUAUCAACUUUAACGUUAACCUUACACCAGAACAUUCCAGGAAAGAUUAAAAAAGAGAGAAGGAACUCGGCAAAUUUUAGCCCCGCCUGUUUACCAAAAACAUCACCUCUUGACAUAAUAUAAGAGGCCCAGCCUGCCCGGUGACAAAGUUUAACGGCUACGGUACCCUGACCGUACGAAGGUAGCAUAAUCACUUGUUCCUUAAAUAGGGACCUGUAUCAACGGCAUCACGAGGGCUGCACUGUCUCCUCUCUUCAAUCAGUGAAACUGAUCCCCCCGUGAAGAAGCGGGGAUUAAACUAUAAGACGAGAAGACCCCAUGGAGCUUUAAACACGUACUCACACUACUUACAUGCCCCUUAACUAAAAGCCCUGAGUACAAGUUUUAGGUUGGGGAGACCGCGGAGAACAACUAAACCUCCACGACAAACGGCCCUUAAGUCCUUAUCUACGAGCCACAGCUCUAAGAAUCAAUAUACUGAUGAUUAUGACCCGAUACUAUUCGAUUAACGAACCAAGUUACCCUGGGGAUAACAGCGCAAUCUACUUCAAGAGUCCAUAUCGACAAGUGGGUUUACGACCUCGAUGUUGGAUCAGGGUAUCCCUGUGGUGCAGCAGCUAC